rnacentral:rRNA from 1 species
GACGAACGCUGGCGGCGUGCUUAACACAUGCAAGUCGAACGGAAAGGCCCUGCAUUUGUGGGGUGCUCGAGUGGCGAACGGGUGAGUAACACGUGAGUAACCUGCCCUUGACAUUGGGAUAACUUAAGGAAACUGGGGCUAAUACCGGAUAGGAGCUCCUGCUGAAUGGUGGGGGUUGGAAAGUUUCGGCGGUUGGGGAUGGACACGCGGCUUAUCAGCUUGUUGGUGGGGUAGUGGCUUACCAAGGCUUUGACGGGUAGACGGCCUGAGAGGGUGGCCGGCCACAUUGGGAUUGAGAUACGGCCCAGACUCCUACGGGAGGCAACGGUGGGGAGUAUUGCACUAUGGGCUGAGGCCUGAUGCAACAACGCCGCGUGCGGGGUGACGGCCUUCGUGUUGUAAACCGCUUUCGCCUGUGACGAAACGUGAGUGACGGUAAUUGAUAAAUAAGCACCGGCUAACUACGUG